rnacentral:rRNA from 1 species
AGGACGAACGCUGGCGGCGUGCCUAACACAUGCAAGUCGAACGGGGUGAAGAGCUUCGGCUUUUCACUUAGUGGCGAACGGGUGAGUAACGCGUGAGAAACCUGCCUUUCAGUGGGGGAUAACACUUGGAAACAGGUGCUAAUACCGCAUAAGACCACGGUAUCGCAUGGUACUGAGGUAAAGAAAUUCGGUUUGGGGUGAGCUCGCGUCCGAUUAGCUAGUUGGUGAGGUAACGGCUCACCAAGUCGACGAUCAGUAGCCGGACUGAGAGGUUGAACGGCCACAUUGGAACUGAGAUACGGUCCAGACUCCUACGGGAGGCAGCAGUGGGGAAUAUUGGGCAAUGGGCGAAAGCCUGACCCAGCGACGCCGCGUGAAGGAAGAAGGUCUUCGGAUUGUAAACUUCUUUUAUUAGGGACGAAAGAUGACGGUACCUAAUGAAUAAGCCACGGCUAACUACGUG